AACUUCACAAUCAACAUAUAUGAAUCCUAUUUGCUUGUUGAACACAAGAUUGCAUGGUCACAGAGAAAUGGGCUGUUUUUUAUGAUUUAUGGCGGAAUACUAGAUCUAUCAAAUCAAGUAUUCUUCUUAUCCAGUUGAGGAAUUUGGUUUGAGCAACUUCUAAGCAAAAAUUUGGUGAGUCACUAUUCUACUUUGACAUCCGGAAAGCAUGAAGUUCUCAAUGUUCAAGGUAAGCUUAUAUGCAAGGUAAGCUCUCUAGGGUUUCCAAGAUUCAUGGAUUUCACACAACAAUUACACAAAAUUUAAUGAAGGAUCUUCAUCUGUUUCCUCAUUGAUUUGAUGCAACAUCUUGAUAGACCUGGUGUGAGCUUUUGUUCACGCACAACUUAUGAUAACAAUGUUAUAACCAAUGCUUUUGAGUUUUAUAAAAAAACCAGGUAUUUGCAUGUGUAGUGAUAGACUGAUAGUGUUGACUUUUGUUGUAUUUCAAAGAGAGGAUUUUUUUUUGGGUUUGCAGAUGGUAGUUGUUGUAGAUGAUGAGGCCAAAAAAUGAAUGAGAUUUUAUUAAGUUGGCAUCGUUGUUACACCUGAAGCUAUUUCUUGGUGGUUAAGCAUGGGACUGGAAUCUUGUGUGUGAGUAGGAAAGGCGAAGCUGAGAUUCAAGAUUGUUGUAGAGAAAGAUGUGGUAAGUUAAGGUAAUCUUUAUGGACUUGGAAGCCUCAAAGAAGAAGAUACAGCACAUGUUAUUGGUAGAAAAGUACUUGCGCCAAACUGAUCCGGCCUUUGUGGACUUCCUUGAGUUUGAAUCAAGUGAAGCACCCAUCGAGCCUCCAACAUAAAGACCAUUUCUUUCUUAGGUUACUUAUCUCUAUUUCUUAACUCAUGAACUUGUCACUUUGGCGUAUGUUUUGUUCCUUGUGACUUGUGAUAAUCUUAGUUUUAGAUUGAUCAUAUUGGUUGUGUCUUUUGGUUUAUUGCAAAUGUGGUAUACUUUUGGUUUUUAUUUCUAUAGAAAAUUGGCUUCGUGAA